GCCGAAGUGGCGGAAUUGGCAGACGCGCUACAUUCAGGGUGUAGUACCCGUCAGGGUGUGGAGGUUCGAGUCCUCUCUUCGGCACCA
rnacentral:tRNA from 1 species